rnacentral:ncRNA from 2 species
GACCCUUCAGGAGAUGACAUUCCUCCUUAAUAACCGCCGUUCUGGCUGAUGAUGUCUACGUUCGC